rnacentral:rRNA from 1 species
CAGUCGCCACGGGAAUACGGAGGGUGCAAGCGUUAAUCGGAAUUACUGGGCGUAAAGCGCACGCAGGCGGUCUGACAAGUCAGAUGUGAAAUCCCCGGGCUUAACCUGGGAACUGCAUUUGAAACUGUCAGGCUGGAGUCUUGUAGAGGGGGGUGGAAUUCCAGGUGUAGCGGUGAAAUGCGUAGAGAUCUGGAGGAAUACCGGUGGCGAAGGCGGCCCCCUGGACAAAGACUGACGCUCAGGUGCGAAAGCGUGGGGAGCAAACAGGAUUAGAUACCCCUGUAGUCCCUGUCUCUUAUAA